CUGUAAAAACAGUCUCGGAGCAUGAGAAAAUUAACUUCACACCCCGAAGUGCUUUGCGGAUUUGUGCACAUACGGGAGGCCGGCAGAGACGUCCUCUUCUUUGGUGGGAGCCCUGCGACCUGGAGCCCCACUCGAAGUCUUUUAGUGGGACAUUCUCUGGGUCCAUCCAAACAGGGUUUGUGGAAAUGGCAGGAGUUGGUCAAGCAGUACCCGGGGAGUCAGGAGCCGGCCAGGCAGCAGCUGGGGAGUUGGGAGCUGAUGACCUCUGGCAGGCUUAACAGGUGUGAACAGUGCCAAUGAUGGUGCUGUUGAGGCACCAAUAGGCACAGAGGGUCCCAAUGAGGCCAGAACCGAUAAGGAGGGUGCCAUUGAGGUACCAACAGGCAUGGAGGGGGCUGACAGGAUGGCAGGAGAUGAGGUAGGAGGUGACCGAACCAAAGGUACAGAAUGCUCCAACAAACUUCCAGGUGAGCAGGACACAGCCAGGGUACCUGUAAGCGAGCAGGGCACAACUGGGGCACCUGGAGGUGAGCAGGGCACAACUGGGGCACCUGGUGCCACCAAUGAGACUACUUGGGUUUUCUGUGGGGCAGCAGGUGAGACACAGCAACCCAAAAAGUUUGUGUCUUAGUCAGAGGCAUGGUUUCACCUGGGUCAGAACGACAUCUCUCAGGUCAGGUUUGGGUGGCACAGCUGCUGUGGGACCAGGUGUGGGAAGUGUGGCCCCUCUUGAGCCAGGAGCCUGGGGACACUUUAAGAUGUUGCACUUAUCACAACACACCCAUGUAAAGCGUCUUGGGGCGAGUCUAUUGUGAAAGGUGCUACAUAAAAACAGCAUGGGUGGCAGCCUCCCUUGGGCAAGGUUCUGGAGGCUCGGGCACUUCUUGUAGAGGAAAACAUAGAAGAACAAUCAGCUAUUACAAUGCAUUUAGUCAAACAGGUUAUAUCAGUAAUUAUGUUUAUUUUAUUUAGUUUCAUUUUAUUUUAAUCACACUAUACAUUCCUGGACAAACAUUGUUGAACACAGUGUAUUAGUGGUUCAGUGUAAUAGAUGGGUGCACAUGACACCAUGUGUGAUACCACCAUGAUAAUUUCUUGCUUACGUGGCCAUGGGUUCGUAUUCCAAAGACAAUGCAUUUCUUUUUAAAAAUGGCAAUGAAAGCUCUGUGAUUGAAUUAUUGUGACAAGAAUGAAUUAUUUCUAGCCAUUAAUUUCAGGUCAGUCAGGUCAGGUUGGGAAGCAUGCAUUGGCAAUUCAAUUCAAUUUUUUUUUGUAUAGCACAUUUUCACAACAGUAGUGUCACACCGAGCUGACGAGGGAGACACAAAUCCAGAAGUACGGGGAAAGCCGGGUUUUAAUAAGGCAAAGAGCAAGCAGUUACAGGCAAGAGUCCCCUCCACACAGGUAAUGCAGGAGAGCACUGCAGCCCGAGUAACCGGGGAGGUGGUGCAGGGCAGAGGCACCCUCCUUGUGGUGGUGAUCUGGCAACCAGGUCCAAAUGGGGUGAGCAGUAAUCGUGGUCGAGAGACGAGAGCGUUGGUCGAAAGCCGAUGAGUCCGUCCGACGGAUACACACAGGACUGGGUAACAGGAGGGCUGGACGACGAGGGAAGCCGGGCUCAGCAGGACUGGAGAAUCAAGGACGGGAGUGGGACUAAGGAGGUAAGGGAUAAGAGGUAAGGGUUUCACAAAAGGUAAACAGGCAAGGAACGGGAGCAGACGAGAACGGCAGACAGAAGAAUGCUCGGUAAGGCUAGUCAUUAGCGCAAUACUUCGCAGUUUGACUGUGAUCUUCUCCCUCCUUAAAUAAGGGAGGCAAUUAGUCCCUAAUGCCCGACACCUGGUUGACCCGCCUCCGUGGGCGUGACAAGUAGGCACAGCCUCACGAAAGUUGGACAUGACAAUAAAAGUGAUUUGAUUUGAUUUUGAUCAUGCAGCUCCUGGUGCUGAUUCUGAUGACAGGAUGAACAGUUGUACAGUAUAGCAGGAGGGCAGGCAGGAGAGACAUCACAAGAGACUGAAUCUCGCACAUCCACUGGGAUCCACUGCAGAGCUCUUUAAGCGAAAGAAAGAUUCAAAGGUAUCAUUAUCAGUCCUAAUAUGACUAGGAGAAGACUGAUAGCUGUAUGUCGCUACACACAUGCUCCAGGUGGUAUAUCUAAUCUUAAUUAUUUUACCAUUAAAAAUGUAGUCAUCAUUCCUAAGAGCUUCUGGGACUUGUGAGUUUAACAUUGAAGAAGUUUUUGUUAACUUAGACACAGAUUCAAACAGGAAUUUAGGAUUGUUUUUUGUAUUCUUCUAUUAGUCUGGAGAGAUACAGAGACGUAGCAGUCACUAGUGCUUGUCUAUACUCAGAGAGACUCUCUUUUCAGGCGGAUCUGAAAACUUCUAGUUUACAGUAGUUGAGCGCCAUAUAUACAUAUAUGAUCAGAGUACCAGGGGGCAGGUUUCUUAUCCUUAUGCUUUAUCUUCUUAAGUUGAGGUAUAAGAUCAAGAGUGCUGUGAAAUGAUUUAUCAGUGUUUACAGUUACUUGUUCAAGUGCAUUUUCAGUGUAAGGUUGAAGGAUUGUGAAAAUUGGUCAAGAAACUAUGAAACGACUGUACUGUAUUUCGGAGCUGGGGCCAAAGGAGCCUGUAUUGUAUUUCAGACAUUAACAAGUAAUGAUCUGAAUGUAGAGGAUUCUGUGGGGUAAUAGAUACAUGUUCCACCAGGACACCAUGGCUAAGAAUCAAAUCCAGGGAGUGGUUACAGGCAUGAGUAGGCCCGACUACAUUCUGACGCACACCAUCAGAGUCAAGAAUAGCAGCAAAUGUUGUGGUU